rnacentral:rRNA from 1 species
GUCCAUGCUGUAAACGAUGAGGACUGACUGUUGGGUGCCUACGGGCAUUUAGUAGUGAAGCUAACGCGUUAAGUUCUCCGCCUGGGGAGUACGGCCGCAAGGUUAAAACUCAAAGGAAUUGACGGGGCCGCACAAGCGGUGGAGCAUGUGGUUUAAUUCGACGCAACGCGAAGAACCUUACCUACUCUUGACAUCCAUGGGACCUGGUAGAGAUACUGGGGUGCCUUCGGGAACCAUGAGACAGGUGCUGCAUGGCUGUCGU